ensembl:lncRNA
CUCGAACAAGUUGGACUCUUUUUAACCUGUAGAUGGCAUUACAUUACCCCCCCUGACUCCAAACCACGCAUCUGCUUCCAAUACGUAGGGGCUGCUGGUUCAUCACUUCUGCUCCGAGUAGCCUGCAGCUCACGCCUCAAGAAAAACGGGAUUGUAUCAGCACUGAAGAUGUGCAUAACCAGAGGAGCAAGUGAUAGGACUAAACCUAUACGUCGAAACUAAGUAAAAGCAAUACCACGGGAACUUCUUCGUGGGUGAAAAAUAAGAAAGAUGUACCCAUGGCGGUUAUGGAUCGCCAUGAUUAUGGGCUCACUGUGGUACUUUUCAGAGUACGGUCAAAUAGCGACUCAGUUCGUGUUGUGUGUGCUGUGUUGUUACGUCUCUACCCCGCCGAUAUUGAGAAACAUGGGCCAGGAGAGCGGCACACAAACAGACGAAGCAGCCCAGGAAGACGAUCAUCGGGGAAACGUAGCAGGUGCAACAUGUUUUGGUUUCGAUAUCUAUCAUGGAGGGAAUAGCCCACAAGUUCAUCAACAGGAGGAUCUUUCGUUUCAGCUGCAUUAUCCCAACGUCAAAAGGUCGCUGAGGCAUGUGUUUGAGUGUGCUUACAGACAGUUAAUCCUCCCAUGGUACUGCGUCCCAGAGCCCCCUGAGUGCCAGCCCCUUCAUCAGGCUCUGGGCAGGGAGUUUGACCUGGUGGUGGACCGGGUCAUCAGCAGGGCCCGGGACUUUGACCUGUGCGAGGCUGUGGUGGGCUCCGUCCGGAUCCUGACCCAGCACUUCCAUAACGCGAAGCAGGCGGAAAGGGAUCCCCUGUUCGGCUCCAGAGCAGAGGAAAUGGCUGUCCUGAGGGUGUUCUCCGAGGCCCUGGUCCGUAAUCUGUUCCCUGAGUCUCUGUGUGGGCUGGAUAUGAAUCGCUGUGCCCUUAAUGAGAUUGUGGCCUUAAAGGGUUUGGAGCUGCUGGUGACGUGGCUGUCGAACCCGGACCACCUGAACCAGAUGGUGGUCGGUCAGCUCGACAAAGCCUCUCCCAAAAGCUCUGUGGAGGAGCUGCGGGGGGUCCGACUGUGACAGAACCUCCUCCGCCUCCCAGGGAGAGGAAGAGGAGGAGGAGAGCGAGGGCUCUGAGGAAGAAGAGUGCAGUGAAGUGUCAUGUGAGAACUCGGAAAACUCCUCAAGCCAUAAGGAAAAGAUGAAACUGAGAUGAAAUAAAUGAUGCUUACUCACCAAAAGCAUGUGUGCUGUACUGCAACAAAAAU